AGGAGGUUCCUAUGCUGGAGCAAUUCACAGCUAGCACUGUGCCAAAGCACACAGGCACACACCUCUCUGAUCACUUCCUGCCCAAACACAGUCCUGGCUGGCUCAACCCACAGAACGCGGGCUGGGAAUUGCUGCUGCAGCCCUGUGCCAGGCUGAAUUCCCAGGGGUGUCAGUGCCCCCUACCCCUCUCCUCCCAGCUUUAUCAGCUUGUGCGCAUCCUAUUUGCCAUAUGCCCCCAUGGAGGUAAAUAUGGGUGGAAGACAUCUGUCUGUACUUCCUCUGGACUAAACACGUCAAAGACAGCAGCUGUGGAUGCAGCCUGGUGCGAUGAGUGACAGAAAAAGCACCUUCUGACGCCUGCCCUCCACACGCUGCUCCCAUCCGGUGCUGAAGCAAUGACCAGAAGGGCCACUCCUUGCCUGCUUUUAGUGACACCAACAGCUCCCCCUCAGCAGCUGUGGAGGAAGACGCCUGGGAACUGCUGACCGGAAAACCUCAGACCCUG